GGAGUGAGAAGGUGCUGGCUGCUGCCCCUGGAGCACAGUAGGGAAGCGAGGAGGAACCAAUAUAGAUAGUGCUUUGGCUUUUCUGAGAGGUCGGAGACAGGUGGGAGGUGACUGGUGAGUGGUGGGGAGCUGCUCACCAUCACACAGCUAUGCAGCAGGGAAUCAAAGUCCCUCUCCUGCAGGGGAACAAAGGGGCCAUUGUUGUGAAAGGACCGGCUAGAGCACAGAGGGAGCAGGAGAGGGCAGGCCGUACUGGAGCAGGACUGUUGAGGUACUGGCAAUAAAAAGUGCAGCCGUGGAGCUGUGGGAGAGUCCGUCUGCUUUGGGAGAUGUUUUAAGCAGACUCAGCUGCUAUAUUACCACAUUUUAUUAAACACAGGGAAAGCAUUUAGGAGAAGAGCAGAGAGCCAAAUCUGACCUAGAAGUUGAAAAGCCAAAGGUCAAACAGGCUGUAAGUCCAUCACCACUGAGGUUAUUGGAGACUUCUCAUUAGGAAAGGCAGGUCAGAUCCCCAGUCCCCGUAAGUGCCCCUUCCCCCUCCCUAAUUGAGCCUUACACUUUGGGUUUUGGUUUAUGGCCGUGCUGUCCGGGCUCCAAGGCUGUACCCGGGCUCCAUGUCAAAGCAAAGCACACAUGGCCCACCUCUUAGAGUCCUGAAGACGGAAGUAAGUUAUGACGUGGACGGGAAGGAGGAAGAUAGGACAUAUUUAUAAUAGGUGUAUAGAACACAAGGGAUAUAAAAUGAAAGAUUUUUACUAAUAUAUAUUUUAAGAUUACACACAAUACACACCAGAAGAUGUGGAGUUCAUUGGUGGUAGUGAUUAAAGUGAUCCCAGCGAUUAGUGCUUUAAAAAGUGAAAGAUUGGAUAGCUACUCCCCAAAAUUACGAGGAAAACACCAAUAGUGAGAGCAAACAGCAAAAACAACAAGGUCCUGUGGAAAUCUCGAAGAACUGUAGACUAAGAAAGCCAGCCCCUGAACACCAGGAAAUCGAUGUGACCUAGCCCCGGGUUAGACAGCGACAAGACGUGCUGGCCUUUAUUUUCUGUGUUGGAUUUUUCCCUUGCCUUAUGGGCUGAAGUGUUCUCUAGGAUUUAGCAGGUCACACUGAGGGGGUAACAGUUGAACGGUUAGCUGUGGGUCUCUCCUCCUCUCCUGCCCCAUCCCUGCCCUUCCAGAAGAAUAAACAGGAAGCAGGAAGCCUUCCCUUUUUUUUUUUUUUUAAGUGCUAUGCAAAAUAGACAUCUUUAACAGAGUCCUGUUACUAUGGUAACAUUUUGCUUUCUGAAUUGGGAGGAAAAAAAAAAUUCUAAUGACAGCAUUUGAAGGUUCUCAGACCUCCAGUGAGUACCUGCAAAAAAGAGUUGUCACAGAAAUUAUCCCCCUACUUCCCAAACCUGAAGAUGCUUUUCUUACCCAGAUUGUGUACAUAGAGCAAUGUUGGUUUUUUAUAAAGUCUAAGCAAGAUGUUUUGUAUAAAAAUCUGAAUUUUGCAAUGUAUUUAGCUACAGCUUGUUUAACGGCAGUGUCAUCCCCUUUGCACUGUAAUGAGGGAAAAAAAAAGGUAUAAAAGGUUGCCAAAUUGCUGCAUAUUUGUGCCGUAAUUAUGUACCAUGAAUAUUUAUUUAAUUUCGUUGUCCAAUUUGUAAGUAACACAGUAUUAUGCCUGAGUUAUAAAUAUUUUUUCUUUGUUUUAUUUUAAUAGCCUGUCAUAGGUUUUUUUAAUCUGCUUUAGUCCCACAUGACAGUUAAGCCCCAGAAAUGGGAUCCGAGCAGUCACAUUCCACAUCUGUUUCAAAAUGAAUUUGUUCUUAAAAAAAUAAAAUAUUUUUUUCCUAUGGA
rnacentral:lncRNA from 1 species